UACGUAGGGUGCAAGCGUUGUCCGGAAUUAUUGGGCGUAAAGAGCUCGUAGGCGGUUUGUCGCGUCUGCUGUGAAAACUCGGGGCUUAACCCCGGGCCUGCAGUGGGUACGGGCAGACUAGAGUUCGGUAGGGGAGACUGGAAUUCCUGGUGUAGCGGUGAAAUGCGCAGAUAUCAGGAGGAACACCGGUGGCGAAGGCGGGUCUCUGGGCCGAUACUGACGCUGAGGCGCGAAAGCCAGGGGAGCAAACGGG
rnacentral:rRNA from 1 species